rnacentral:lncRNA from 1 species
UCAACCAAAAAGGUUUAGCCUUCCAUGUGGAGGCAAAACAAAAGAAUUACAAGAAAAAAAGAAACUAAGAAAACCCUAUGAAACUCCCUCCUUUCUCCUUGAUGCUUGUGUCCUUUUAUAGGCCUUUAUGCUCCAGGGAUCUUGGAAAAAUAUUGUAGUCUAGAUUUUGUUAACAAUUUCAAAGUUUUUGACUUUUCAGAAUUCUUGUAUUUUGCAGAAGAUUUGCUUCCAAUUCUGUUUCUGAGAUAUUGUAGCUUUUAUUUUCUCUUUCUUCUCCUCAAAAUUUGUUUUCUGUUUUGAUUAAAAAAGCAACUUUGACUUUUGCAUAUUUGGCCCAUUCACUAAGGUAGACACUUCUUUCAGACCAUUUACUCUAAAAACACAAAAUUAACAAAAAUAAUAGUUAAAGCCCAAAUAAACUCAAUUAUAUGAAUAUUAAUUAAAAAAAUUUAUUUAUUUAUUAUUAUAGUUCAAUAAUCCAUGAUUAAAGCUAUUGAGUGUGAAUAAAUAUAUGCUCAUCAAUGAUAUACUUGAGAAUUGACUCAACAUCUAUGUCACUUGAACAAUAAGCCACAACUUGAACUAUAUAACAUGUCACUUGGACAACCAACACAUUUCUUAAGUGAUAUAAGACAAUAAGUGUAAUGAUUACAUCACUUAGGUCUCUCUUGAGUGUCAAGUGACCGUAAAGCAACCCCAAAGGGCUCAAACAAAGGAUAUUCUCAAAGAUUUCCAAAUUGUAUGUGGAUUCUUACCAUCCCAUGUCCAUCAAAGAGUUAUUUUAAGACUUAUAUCCAACAAUGUAUCAUCACAACAACUCUACAACUCUUCUAACAUGCAUAUAUUUUACAUAAUAUCAACCUCCAUGCAUUACAUACAACUAACAACUAUCAUAUUGUAAAAAAUUGACAUAAUAACUCCCCUUGUCUAGAUUGAAGUAUGCUCUCAUAACAACCAAUACUUGAUCAUUUUUCCUAAGACUCUAAUGAAUCUAGAGAAGUUCUCAAAACAUCAUUUUAUAUGAGCAAACAUUUCCUCUAAAUCAUUCAUACAAGUAAAGAAGAAGAGAAGAAAAAAAGAGAAGACAAAAAGAUAAGAAAACUCAUAUAUGAUUGAGGUUACUUACCAAGACUAACUUCUCAUCAAUCCAAAACAAUUAGUACCUUACUAACUCCACAAAACCUCAAUCUAGUAAAGAAUCUAUAAUUAAAAACUCACUUAUAUCUGUCGAAAAUGACAACUUUUACCAUAGCCGUUGUUUUAUAUCUUUCAAAAGGGUCUAAAGUGGUGGCUUUUACCAUAGCCGUUGUUUUAUAUCUCUCAAGAGGGUCUAAAACAACGCCUUUUUACCAUAACUGACAAUUUAUAUCUUUCAGGAGGGUUUAAAACAACGAAUAUUUACCAUAAUUGCCAUUUUAUAUCUUUUAUGAGGGUCUAAAAUGAUGAAUUUUACCAUAACUGCCAUUUUAGACUGAAUAUAACACGACAAUUAUAUAGUCGUAGUUUUUGCUUGAAGAAAAUAGACUACACGUUGAAAGACAGCGGUUCAAAAACUGUUGUUUUAAUGCUAAAAUGACUGUUGUGAUUUAGCUUUUUCUGUUGUCUUUGCUUAAAGAGAAUACACUAUCUUUGCUUGAAGAGAAUAAAUUACAUGCUAAAAGACAACAUUCCAAGAACCGUUGUUUUAAUUCUAAAAUGACCAUCGUGAUUUAGCUUUUCUGGACCAGUGAUGGUAAACUUUCUUUUUAGAGUGAUGGUGAUAAACAUCUAUCGAUUUGAAAUUGAAAGAGUUAGAAAGUAAGAAAAAAAACAUGAUAAAAAUAUUAAAUAAUAUCAUAGAAAUAAAAAUGGAAGAGAAAUGUAAAUAAAUUUAAAUAAAAAUUAGAUGUGAGAGUAAGUUAGUUUAUAUUGAUUUGUUUAGCGAUUUAAUAAUUGAAAAAGUCAAAUAAAAAAGAGUAAAUUAUAGUAAUAUUUGCUAAUAAUGUAAUUAGACCCAUGUUUGUUUUUUUUCUAUGCUAUACUUUAACUUAUAAUAAUCCUUUCCAUUAUUAUAAACUUUUUUAAAAUUACAUAACUUUUUUAAAAUUAUGCACUAAUAAUAGGCAUGGUCAUAAUAUUUUGUUAAUAUUUAUCUUAAUAUAUAGAUACACACACAUAAACAUUAUUCUAAUUGCAAUUGUAUCCUUAUUUAAUUGUAUAAUUUAAGUAUUAUAUAAUAUUAUGUUAACAUGUGAGAUUGAAUCUGUUUUAUAUGUUGUUACGUGUGGAUUAUUAGGAUGAUAAAAAAAUAUAAAAAGAGUAAACUGCAUGAUGUUAUUAUUUUGGAAAACUUUUCUUUUAACACUCGAAACAAAAAACAAACACUUAACAGCUCUUUUUAAUAAUAUAAUAAUAUUUUAAAUAAAAAAUAAAAUAAAAAUAUAAAAAUAUUAAUUUAUUAGAAUGUUAGGUGUAUGUAUUUAGUAUAGAUUCUUUUAAUAAUAUAAUAAUAUUUUAAAUUAAAAAAUAAAGUAAAAAUGGUUAAAAUAUGAACAUUAUUAGCAGCAAAGAACAGUGAAUAUAAGUGUUUUACUGUGACAGUGAAGGUGGAGUUUGGAGUCUAGAGGUUGUUGAGGACGAUGUUGGCGAGAUUCAAACCUUCACAUGUGGUGUCAUCAUCAGAGAUCUUGGAAGAAAAAGACCAAGAGAACCCUGAGGUGGCAGAGAACCCAACGCUCACCCACUCCGGAAGAAGGCUCUCGAGCUCCACUCUCUGAGAGACGAUGUAGUUCGUUGGCUGAGAAGGGUAAACCAGAGAAGCCACCAAGAGCUUCGUGGAGGACUCAUAGGUGAUCUGAACCUCCGCGUUUUCUCCGUUGACCAAUUCCCACGGCGUCGUUUUCAUAGACUCGAUGGAGUUCACGUCGAUGCCAAUAUGACGGCCUUCGGGGUCCCACUCCUGGUUGACGAAGGUGUCGAACUCCACAGCCACAGUAUGGGCUUUGCUGUUGUAUUUGUCGCUGUCGAAAAGACCUAGAAAACCGCCUUGCUUUGUUGGGAACGAGAGCAAAGCCAAGGCCAUCGGCGGCUUUUGCUUUGUUGGGAGCGUGGAUAUUGAAUUUGAAGUUUGUGGUGAAGCUGGCGACUUUUCCGGUGGCGCUGUCUUAGAUUUGGAUGGGGGCGGAGUAGAAGGCGCGGCCCAGAGAGGCCACCGUGGGUUCUCCGUUGCUAUUAACAUUGGUUAGUCGUAACUGGCCGGAGGAUGAGACGGAGGCAUCGCCUUGGAGGAUAAGGUUGGUUUCGUUGAACCUAUCGAAGCUGAAGGAGGUUUCGCUGGCUGAGUUUGCGUGGCUGAGAAGCACAAGGAAGAGGCUAGGUUGAGUAAGUUGGAGGAAGCCAUGUAUGCAUUCAUGCAUUAACCAUCACUCUCUUCUCUAUUUAUACAACAACAAAUGCAAAAUCUUUCCAACUUUUUUAUUUCAUUCUAUUAUUAAAUACGUGUUUUCGAAUGAUUAACUUUUUUCUUUUAUAAUAUUAUUUGAGAGAGAAAUAAGAAUAUUAAAAUAAGAAUUAAGCAACGAUUGAUUUUACAACGAUUCAACGUUUUGCUACGAUUCUUAAUUACAAUGUGUCGAUAACUCUUUUUAAGUAUUUGGGUAUGCUGGUAGGGGGUGUCAUUGGAGAGGUGCUUUUUGAGCGGACAAAAAUUCCAAAAAUCCACCAUUUAUUAUUAAUCUUUUUUAUUAUUUAGGUAUUUUUCAGGUAUUUUAAGGUUUUAGUUCUCACAGUUACCCUAAUUAGAAAAUUCUAAUUUUUUUUUCAUGAUUUUUUAGUUAUAAAUUAGUGAUAUAUCAAAACCCUAUAAAUUAGUGAUAAUUCAUAUUUUUCGUGAAGGGAAUGCGUGUGCUAAUAAGUUGGCUAAUUUAGGAUUUAUUCAUAGAGAAUCAUUUCAUUGGUAUAAUAGACUCCCAGCUAGUCUGUUCUUAGAAUUCUUUAUGAAUAGGUAUAAUCUACCUAUUUAUCGUUUUUGUUAACAUAUGGGUUUUGGUCUAGUCCCGUCAUAUUUUUGUAUUUUCUUUCUUUUUUCUUUUUUUUUAAUAAUAUUUUUUUUAUGUGAUGACAAAUGAUUGUUGUUACUUGAGGUGUCAGCUUAGCUGAGAUGUCAAGUUGCAUAGUGAUGCCUAACACGAAAACUUUAUAUAAAAAAAAACCCUAUGGACAUAUAUAUGUCAGAUUUGUUAGAAUUUGCAUAUGGAGAUCAUUGUAAGAGCAUGACUGGAAGCAAAUAAUAAUAUUUAACUUAUUCUUUAUAAUUUUUUAACACUAAUUAAUGUGAAUCCUUUUUCCCGCCAUAGAAUAUGUGAGAAAUGGGCCACGUAUUUCCUUAAUUUCUAUAACUCUAAGAUAAAUAAUCAAUAAUAUAGGAAUUAGAUAGAUAGAUAGGAAUAUAUAUGUUAUUAGUGUUUGUAAUACAUCUUUAUCAAUGUAUAUAAUUUGAUUAUCUGAAUAUAUGUAUCAGGGCUAACUUAGUUUUAAUUGUACAAGUCAAUUUAGAUAGGAUUAACAUUAAACAGAAUGAACUAAACAAAAAAUUCUCAUUUAAAAUGGCGGCUUUUACCAUAACUGCCAUUUUAUAUCUUUCAAGAAGGUAUAAAUGACGACUUUUUAUCAUAACCGUCAUUUUAUAUCUUUAAGGAGGAUCUAAAACGGUGACUUUUUACCAUAACUGUUGUUUUAUAUCUUUUAAAAAGGUCUAAAACGACGACUUUUACCAUAAUUGCUGUUUUAGACUGAAUAUAACACAACGAUUAUAUAAUCUCUGUCUUUGCUUGAAAAGAAUAGACUAUAUGUUGAAAGACAACGCUACAAGAACCGUUGUUUUAAUACUAAAAUGAUCGUCGUGAUUUAAUUUUUUUCAUCAGUAAUUGUAAAGUUUCUUUUUAGAGUGUUGAUAAACAUAUAUCGAUUUGAAAUGAAUAGAGUUAGAAAGUAAAAAAAAAAUACAAGAAAAAUGUUAAAUAAUGUCAUAGAAAUAGAAAUGGAAGAGAAGUGUAAAGAAAUUUAAAUAAAAAUUAGAUGUGAGAGUAAGUUAGUUUAUAAAUUGAUUUGUUUAAUGAUUUAAUAACUGUAAAAAUCAAAUAAAAGUAAAUUAUAGUAAUAUGUACUAAGAUUUAAUGUAAUUACACCCAUGUUUCCUUUUUUUUUCUCUGUUAUACUUUAACUUAUAAUAAUCCUUUCCAUUAUUAUAAACUUUUUUAAAAUUACAUAUUUUUCAAAUUAUGCACUAAUAAUAUAAUAAUACACAUGCUGAAUAAUACGCAGUGUAAAUAUAUGAGCUCCUAUUUUAUUUAUGCUCCCAUUUGUGACAGAUGAAGAUUAUUAGCAGGAAAGAAGAGUGAGAGUGAGUAUAAGCAGGGUUUUACUGUCACAGUGAAGGUGGUUUUUGGAAUCUAGAGGAUCUUGUUGAGGAGGAUGUUGGCGAGAUUCGAAUCUUCAGAUGUGGUGUGACAGGAGAACUUGGAAGAAAAAGACCAAGAGAGCAGGUCGUGCGUUUCACUGGACACGUUAGAUGACCCUGAGGUGGAAGAGAACCCAACGCUCACAUUUAAUAAUAAUAUUAUGUGAUACCUCACAAUUAUUUAUCUUAUUAAUUGAUCAAUUACCAUAAUUAUCCUAUUAUAUUAUUGGUAAUUACUAUUAUCAUAAAUAAUUAGGGUUUCUUCUUGGGUGUAUUAUAAAUAGAGAUUACCAGACAACUAAAGAGACACUCUUAUAUUCUAACAUCACACGGUCGAAACUCAUUCCCUAAAGGGAUUUUCGAGCCUCUCAUCUCUUUGUCUCUCUGCUCACAUAAUUCCAUUUUAAGCGAUACACUCUAAAGGGAAACCCGAUCAAGAUCAUGUCUUCGUCCCUCAGCCAUGCGAUCACGGGUUUACCAAGUAUUAUCUAAUCAUUAUUCUCGUUUCAUUAUAUGAUUGAGGAAUCCUAAUCCAACAUGUGGUAUCAGAGUCAGGUUUAUGUUGUUUAAUCGAUUCUUCUUUUGUUUUCCCUAAAUUUGGAAGAAACGAGGAUUUUGAUUCAACCUAUUGAUUUUCGAUGUUUUUAUUUUGGUAUAUUAUUGAACCACUUAUUUUCGAAAAUCCACCUUGAUAUCAUAAAAUAAAUUUUAAUUUUUUCGAGAUCCAUAAUUAUUUUAAGAUUUUGAAAAUUAAAAUUUAAUAUUAAUGUUAUGUGUUCUUCAUAAUUUUCGUGAGUAUUCCCUUAUUUGGAAUGGAAUUAAUUUUGAUUAUAUGUUCAUCAUCAUUAUUUGUUGUUCGUAUGAAUUUUUGAAAAUUAUGAAUAAAGAAUUUUCAAAAAUUAAUUAUUCCCUUAAUUAGGAAAUUUUGAAAAUAAUAUUUUUCCUUAAUUCAAAUUUUCGAAAUACAAUUGAUUCCCUUAAUUAGGAAUGGAUUUGAUUUGAUUUGAUUGUGUUUUUCUAAAAAAAUAAAUAAAAAUUGAUAUCUUAGUCUCCACGUUUUUCCUUAUUUAGGAUAGUAUAUUCUUGCCUUAUUAAUUUUCGGGUAUUAUUAUUAUUAUUACUAUUUUCGAAAAUAGCAGUCGUGUCAAACUUGGAAACAUAUCAAUCUAAUUAAAAUUUUGAAGACCAAAUCUAAAAUCAAAUCCUUAAUAUUCCGCUACUCACUUAUCGAGUUUACGAGUAACAUAUUUACGCGUUUCCUUUUAUUUAUCGAAUUAAAUAUGGUAAAUCUCAUGAUACCGUAAUUAUGUUUUAAAAAAAAUACUUAUUUUGUUAAACUCUUAAAACAAAAAUAUUAAGUUUGACAAAAUUAAAAUUAAAUUUUUUGCUUAAACUUAAUAACAGGAGUCUCCCUUCUGUCCAACGAUGAUGGGUUAUGUCUUGUUAUUUUAGUCUAAUUAAGCACCUUCACUUACUUGUGAGUACACUUAAUUAUUAAAUAUUCGCAUGACAUUUGCCUAAAAACACAAUUAUUUCUUAUUUCUAUUCUGUCCAACGAUGUUUGAUGCACUUGUGUUUUGCAAACUUAAUAUGUGCAUAAGCUUAAAUGUUCAAUUCUGUCCAAAGAUGAUGUGUCACAUUCUUAUUGCACAUACCUUACUUAUAAUUGUUCAUUAUUCUUAAAUAAUUGGUAAUUAACCAAAGUGAAAGCUGAUUGUUUAAGUAGAACCUAAUCUAGUCUAUUAUUUUGAUGUUAUAAUAGAUUUUAUCACAGCUUCAUUAUCAUAAUGGUUCUUACUUAUGCCUGCUUUAGAUCUAAGUUUCCAAAUGUCACUCUAACUUUUUCCUUAGCCUAAGUAUCUUAAUUCGUCGUCUAACCAGCCCCUAAUAUGGAAAUUGAGACCUUGACUGGUGAAAAUCAUUCUUCUUGGAAAGAUUCCUUGAUGCUNNNNNNNNNNNNNNNNNNNNNNNNNNNNNNNNNNNNNNNNNNNNNNNNNNNNNNNNNNNNNNNNNNNNNNNNNNNNNNNNNNNNNNNNNNNNNNNNNNNNNNNNNNNNNNNNNNNNNNNNNNNNNNNNNNNNNNNNNNNNNNNNNNNNNNNNCAAUCAUUAGAGGAGGCAUUCCUGAUUCACCUAACGCUAAGGCUUAUCUAGCUUCUGUGGAGGAACAAUUUCAAGGAACCUCUAAGGCUCAUGCUAGUACUCUUAUCUUGAAGUUGGUGACUACAAAAUAUGACGGGCGCACCGGCAUUCGUGAACACAUCCUGAUGAUGAGCGACAUGGCCCGUAAACUUAAGGGAUUAGCCAUGGAGAUCAGUGAAGGUUUCCUAGUCCACUUCAUUAUGACUUCUCUUCCUUCUGCGUUUGAAGCCUUCAAAGUCAACUAUAAUACUCAGAAGGACAAAUGGUCCAUGAGUGAGUUGAUUGCUAUGACUGUUCAAGAAGAAGAGCGCCUGAAGUUGGAGAAACCAGAUGUUGCUUACCUCGUGGCUGCUGAGUCGAAGAAGCGGAAGGGCAAAUUCCAUAAAAAGGAAUCUAAUAAGGUCCCUAAAACUGAUGCAAGUGCACCCUCCAGCUCUAACAAAUUCACUAGCAAGUUCUACUGCAAGUUCUGCCGCAAGGUAGGACAUAAGCAGUCUGAGUGCUCAAGCUUUAAGGAGUGGUUGGCUAAGAAAGGUAAUCAUCUAAAUAUGAUAAUUGAGUCCUUUAAUUUAAAUGUUCCAACUAAUACUUGGUGGUUUGACUCUGGUUCUAUGGUUCAUGUGACCAAUUCAAUCCAGGGAUUCCUUACAAUCCAGAAGCUGGAAAGAAACCAAAGAACACUUAAGAUGGGGAAUGGACAAGAACUAUUUGUCGAAGCUGUCGGAAUCUUAGAAUUACUUAUGAAAACUGGAAAAUGUAUUAAACUUUAUGAUACCUUAUAUAUUCCCGAAAUUACUCAGAAUCUUGUAUUAGGACCAAAGUUAGACAUUGAUGGUUUUUAUGUUUCCCAUGGUCAUGGCAAACUUACUAUUUCUUUAAAUUCUCAAUUGUUUGGUACUGGUUUUCUGGAUAACGGUCUCUAUAAGUUAGAACUAGAUGAUAACUUCUCCAAAUCUUUGUUAUCAUAUAAUAUUAAUGAGAACUUAACAAAGACCAAGAGAAAACGAGACUUAGAAACUUCAUCCAUGUUGUGGCAUCAACGUUUAGGCCACAUUUCACGAGAUCGCUUAUCUCGACUUGUGAAGGAUGAAGUCUUACCAUCUCUCAAUUUCACUGAUUUUGGAACAUGUGUCAAAUGCCUCAAAGGCAAAAUGACAUCCACGACUAAGAAAGGCAAAAUGACAUCCACGACUAAGAAAAAAAAAUACAAGAAAAAUAUUAAAUAAUGUCAUAGAAAUAGAAAUGGAAGAGAAGUGUAAAGAAAUUUAAAUAAAAAUUAGAUGAGAGAGUAAGUUAGUUUAUAUUGAUUUCUUUAGUGAUUUAAUAACUGUAAAUAAGAAAGAGUAAAUUAUAGUAAUAUUUACUAAGAUUCAAUGAAGUUACACCAAUGUUUCCUUUUUUUAAUAUGUUAUACUUUAAUUUAUAAUAAUCCUGUCCAUUACUAUAAAAAUUUUAAAAAUUACAUAUUUUUCAAAUUAUGCACUAAUAACACGCAUAUAUGGUCAAACAGAAUAAACUAAAGCAAAAAAUUCUCAUUUAAAAUAGCGGCUUUUAUCAUAACGGUCGUUCUAUAUCUUUGAAGAUGGUAUAAAAUGAUGAGUUUUUAGCAUAACUGCCAUUUUAUAUCUUUCAGGAGGAUUUAAAACAACGAUUUUUUAGCAUAAUUGUCGUUUUAUAUCUUUAAAAAAUGCCUAAAAUGAAGACUUUUACCAUAAUCGUUAUUUUAGACUGAAUAUAACACGACGAUUAUAUAACCGUUGUCUUUACUUAAAGAGAAUGGACUUCAUGCUGAAAGACAGCGGUAUAAGAAUCGCUCAUUCAUGCUGAAAGACAGCGGUAUAAGAAUUGCUCAUUUAGUGCUGAAAUGACCGUUGUCAUUUAGCUUUUUUGCACCAAUAAUUAUAAAGUUUAUUUUUAGAGUGGUGGUGAUAAACAUAUAUCGAUGUGAGAAUAAGUUAGUUUAUAUUGAUUUGUAUAGUGAUUUAAUAACUGUAAAAGUCGAAUAAGAAAGAGUAAAUUAAAGUAAUAUUUUCUUAUGUUUAAUGUAAUUUAAACCAAUGUUUUUUUUUUCUAUGUUAUACUUUAACUUAUACUAAUCCUUUCCAUUAUUAUAAACUUUUUAAAAAUUACAUAUUUUUUAUUUUUCAAAUUAUGCACUAACAAUACGAAUAUGCAUGGUCAAUAAUACGCAGUGUAAAUUGUGUAAAUAUAUGAGCUCCCAUUUUAUUUAUUUAUUUUAGUUUGUGUGACAAAUGAACAUUAUUAGUAGCAAAGAAGAGUGAAGAGUGACUAUAAGUAGCGUUACCAUGAGACUAUGUUACUAUAUGAGACUAUGAGGUAAUAUGGCCUGAAAAAUGUUGAAGGAACUUGUCAAAGACUCAUAGACAAAGUCUUCAAGGGGAUUGGCCGGAACAUAAGGGAAAUGGUCGGAACGAUUUACGUGGACGACAAACUCAUGUGCCCAACACAUAAAGAUUUGAAAGAACUCUUUGAAGCUAUUAGGCUAUGAUGUUCAGACACUUCUCUUAAAUGAUGUGUCGGUGGUAGAUACUCAUAUCGGACACCGACAUUCGUAUGACACUUGUAGGACACGUAUUCGUGAAAUGUCCAAUUCAAAAAGUAUUUGUUGGAUUUUUGACAAUUUUAAUACAAUUCUAACAGAAUUUUAAAAAGGAAAAAUACAUUAAUUUUCUAAAAACUCAAACUUAUUGUAUAAAUUUUUAUUAUGAUUAUAAAAAUAAGAAACAAAUCAUUUUGAAGUAGUCAUGAAAAACAUUUUUUUCUCUUUUCUCCAAAAAACAAUCUGUAACAUACUUGUGUACAUAAAUCUUUAUUAUCAAUUUAUAUAAUUUAUAAUUAUAUAAUAUAUAGAUUCGUGUUUUCAUAUCCUACAUUUUAAAUAUUUAUUUUAAAUAUUUUCCGUAUCUUUACGUUUGUGUCCUUGUUUUAUCGGUGUCCGUGUUAUACAGCUCUUAAGUGAAUGAACAUGCGGCUAAAUCCUGAAAAGUUUGCGUUCAGGAAUAUAAGUUAUUGGGUUUAGGGUUUAAUCUCGAGAAAUGUAGGGCGAUAGAGAUAACAAGAUGAUCAAAAAUACAAAAAAAAGAAGAAGAGUAAAAUAGAGUAAACUCCAUUAUGUUAUUAUUUUGGAAAACUUUUCUUCAACAGUCCAAAGUUUGGAGUAAAAAACAAGCAUUUGACAGCUCCUUUUAAUAAUAUAAUAAUAUAUGAGCUCCCAUUUUAUUUUCUGUGACAGAGAAACAUUAUUAGCAGGAAAGAACACUGAGUGAAAGCAGUGUUUUAGUGUCACAGGGAAGGUGGAGUUUGGAGUCUAGAGGAUUUGGUUGAGGACCAAGUUGGCGAGAUUCAAAGCUUCAGAUGUGGUGCCAUCGGAGAGCUUGGAAGCAAAAGACCAAGAGAGGACGUCGUUCGUUUCAACGUUCCCUUUAGUAAUCCCAGUGGUGGCAGAGAACCCAACGCUCACCCACUCGGGAAGAACGCUCUUCAGGUCCACUGUGUCAGAGACGGUGAAGCUUGUUUUCAGAGAAGGGUAAACCAGAGAAGCCACCAAGAGCUUCGUGGAGGACUCAUAG